UACGUAGGGGGCAAGCGUUGUCCGGAAUCAUUGGGCGUAAAGAGCGCGUAGGCGGUCCGAUAAAUCGGUUGUGAAAACUGGGGGCUCAACCCUCAGAGGCCGACCGAUACUGUCGGGCUAGAGUCCGGAAGAGGCGAGUGGAAUUCCUGGUGUAGCGGUGAAAUGCGCAGAUAUCAGGAGGAACACCAAUGGCGAAGGCAGCUCGCUGGGACGGUACUGACGCUGAGGCGCGAAAGCGUGGGGAGCAAACAGG
rnacentral:rRNA from 1 species